rnacentral:rRNA from 1 species
CCUACGGGCGGCAGCAGUGGGGAAUAUUGCGCAAUGGGCGAAAGCCUGACGCAGCGACGCCGCGUGAGGGAUGAAGGUCUUCGGAUCGUAAACCUCUGUCAGCAGGGAAGAACGGUCACUGUGCUAAUCAGCAGUGAAUUGACGGUACCUGCAAAGGAAGCACCGGCUAACUCCGUGCCAGCAGCCGCGGUAAUACGGAGGAUCCGAGCGUUAUCCGGAUUUAUUGGGUUUAAAGGGUGCGUAGGCGGUCAGGUAAGUUAGAGGUGAAAGCUCGAUGCUCAACAUCGAAACUGCCUCUGAUACUGUCUGACUAGAGUGUAGUUGCGGAAGGCGGAAUGUGUGGUGUAGCGGUGAAAUGCUUAGAUAUCACACAGAACACCGAUUGCGAAGGCAGCUUUCCAAGCUAUUACUGACGCUGAGGCACGAAAGCGUGGGGAGCGAACAGGAUUAGAUACCCGGGUAGUC